CAAUUUCAAAGGUCAUAUCUGUGAAACUUUGUCCAUGGGACAUCAUCUCAUGGGGCACAUUAUAUAAUCCUACAACAUAAGAUCUUUGUUCAACAUGGUCAAAAUUAUAAGUAUUUUUGAAAGAACUUGAAAUUUUAAAAUGCAAUUUUUUUCAGACUGACUCAGCCUAUGCUGGAGUUCAUCAUCAUGUUACUGGUGCAUUAUGCCAUGGUUUUGGACUAGACUUUGGAUUUACUUGGACAGACUGUUUCCACCCUGAUUCAAAUGUCACAUUGAACUGCCUUCUGAAAGUGCUUCACCAUGUCAAAGAGAUCAACGACAAUGCACUGCCACCAGUUUUGUAUUUGCAAGCAGACAACUGUGGCAAAGACAACAAAAAACACUUUGUGCUGAUGUUUUUAACUGCUCUUGUGAAGGCAGAGGUAUUCAAGAAGAUUAAACUUUCUUUUUUGAUGGUGGGACACACACAUGAGGAUGUGGACCAUCUGUUUAGUAGAGUCAGCACCAAGUUAUGUCAAGAGAACGCACCAACGCUUCCAGAACUCCAUGCAAGGGAAGCAUCCAUACAUUCAUCCAUUGUUAGUCACCUCAACAGCAUUUUCAAUUUCAAGGAAAACUCAUUAAUCUAAACAGAUGUGACGGAAUUAAAGCUCCACAUAUAUUUAAAUUUGUAAAGGAUGGUCCCAUUGUUAAGAUGUCAAUAAAAGACUGGCCUUUGGAGUAUGAGCAGUACAGAAAAGUGAACUUAGAGAACAUUCCCACCUUACAGGAAAUCUGCACAUCCUUAAACCCUGUGAGGAAAAAUCUAAAAAUUGAUUCAGUCACUGCAGCAAUGAAUAGGGAUCUGCCAUAACGGAAGCAAGCAGGACGUUUAACCAGGUAUCAGCACACAUGGUGGCAGGAAUACCUUGAAGUAUUAAACACAGAUGAUCCAGCACUCCCAUCAGUACCAUUACCAACCUCCUUACCAAAAUUUCAGAUUCCUGCAGUAGAAAGGCCAUCUAGGGCACUGGAUCCCAACAUUUUGGAAGCCAUCAAUAGACAUAUUGUUCAGCUGCAGACUUCAUCAGAGAUCCAGGUAGUGAGGCCAAGAAGACGUUAAAUUUAACCAAGAACACCAGUCAUUCUAAAUAUUUAUUUGUGUUUUGUAUGCCCACAAGUUUGAACUUUGAACUGGCAUUUCGCACUAAACUUGUACAUUUUUUAUACAACCAGAAAAAUUCGGUUUGGUUGGUAUGAUAUUGUCGUCUGCUGCUUCAUUGUCAUCGAAAGACACAUUCUGCUUUCAGACAAUUAUUAAAGUUUGAGUGAAAGAAUGUCCAUGAAAUUUUUCGAAUUUACAAGAAGCAAGAAGGUUAAAUUGUUUAAGUGUAUUGAUGUCUCUUAAAUUGUACUACAAGGUUCUAUGCUACAAAGGGAAGUCUGGAAUUGAGGCUGUGGGUUGAUGGUUUUGCCUUAAAAAAAAUAUUUCCUAUUCAUUUUUAUCAAUAUUUUUCAAAUAACAAAUAUUUUGAGAAGUUUCAAGAAAAAAACUUCAAAUGCACAGUUUUGUGAAAGAGACUUUUAAGAUCUUAAACCACAUUUAUUUGGUGUCAAAAAUUAGUCACAAUCUUAAUUUGGAAUUUUCAAGCUGGAAUAUUGUGUUGAAAUUUGUCCAAACUAUUCAGGGUUUGACCUCUGGGGUUGUAUCAGGCUGUGCUCGCCUCUGCAAAGCAUUUUAUUUUAUUAUGUUUUAUUGUUCUUUGCUUUUUUAUUUUAAUGUUGGAUAAUUGUAUAUAGCUAUUAAUUUAAACAAAUAUCAAUCUGUGUUGUGCAUGUUUGUGACAUACAUGUGGAAAUACUGCAUCUAGUUAAGAAAUUUAUAAAAUGUUUCCUAAAAUAACCUCUUUCCUAUAAUUGACUUAUUUAAGGAAAGGAAGUGAGAAAAAGUGUUCAAGUCUCCAGACUAGAUUUGAAUAGUCAUCAACUAUAUAAAGAGACAUUUUAAUAUCUUUUCAUAAGAAAACUGAUUAUCAUUUAUAAUUUAUUUGUUGUGAAUGGUACUAUCUAACCUUUGUUGAAAACAACAACACAUUUUCUUUUGUUUAUUUAGUUGAUGAAGGAAUGAUAAUCAGUAAAACACUGAAAUUAAAAACUUUUUUUUAUUAAUUUUAUAACAUGUUAUGUUUAAAUCAUGCUUCUGUUGCACAUU